UACUUGAGUAGUUGGCCAUUCCCAUCUCCAAUGUGCCCCAUUUUGCAAAUGAGGAACCAAAGCAAAAAAGGGUGAAGAAGUAUUAGAGAUGGCUACAACCUUGGGAACUCUGGAAGAUAAGAAUAGCAAACACUAUGAGUCUAAGUGUUGGGGCCCAUUCUAGGAUUUGCAAGAGAGAGAAUAGCAUCUGGUGAUAAGUUUCCUGGGCUUGAGAGCAAUUUUAAGGAGGAAAGUCAACUUGGAAAACCAAAUUGAGAUCAAGGUUGCUUGACUUUAUCACUACUCAUCAUCUUCAAGAAGCCACAUAGACAACUACUCAAUGUCAUUAGUGUGUUAUAGUUUUAUUAUACAUUAAUUCCAUUGGUAUUGGUGUCUCCUUGAUAUGAUUCUCAAGGAUACCAUUGUUUGGCAUUAUUAACACAUUUAUAAAUCAUCUUAGUGUGGGCUGUUUUCUGGGAAGACUUCCAUAGAUGAAUACAUCUCUUCUAUUAUAUGGUGACUCUUAAGGGAUUUUGCUAGGACUGUCCCUUCUAGAAUCUCACAAGCAACCUCACUGAUGGGAGCCUCUCUGACUUUGACAUGGGGAAAACCAAAUGCACAUUCAAGUAUCCCACAGAGAACUGGAGUGGUAACUGAGAACAUGUCUUUGUGCUUGGACGGUGGGGAUCUUUUGACCACUGCACCCAAGUUGUGGUCUCUUCAAAGAUGUAAUCCUGCCCUACUAGAGCUCUAGUUGUCUCCUGGAUAACUGUAAUACUUCAUGAUUUCUUGUCCCCCUUCCUUUAUCCUUUUCCUCAUGACUUUUUGAAUGUCUGAAAUCAAGUACCUUCCUUUGUAUGAGGUAAAAUAAGCCUAUAAUAAAAGCUUAUUGC